GCCUGUGGCUCAGUGGAAAAGCCCUUGCCUGGCGUGUGUGAGGCCCUGGGUUCGAUUCUCAGCACCGCG
rnacentral:tRNA from 1 species